GAUGAACGCUGGCGGCGUGCCUAAUACAUGCAAGUCGAGCGAACGGACGAGAAGCUUGCUUCUCUGAUGUUAGCGGCGGACGGGUGAGUAACACGUGGAUAACCUACCUAUAAGACUGGGAUAACUUCGGGAAACCGGAGCUAAUACCGGAUAAUAUUUUGAACCGCAUGGUUCAAAAGUGAAAGACGGUCUUGCUGUCACUUAUAGAUGGAUCCGCGCUGCAUUAGCUAGUUGGUAAGGUAACGGCUUACCAAGGCAACGAUGCAUAGCCGACGUGAGAGGGUGAUAGGCGACACUGGAGCUGGAACAGGGUCCAGACGCCUACGGGAGGGAGCAGUAGGGAAUCUUCCGCAGUGGGGGAAAGCCUGACGGAACAGCGCCGCGUGAGUGAUGAAAGUCCUCGGAGCGUAAAACUCUGUUAUUAGUGAAGAACAUAUUUGUAAGUAACUGUGCACAUCGUGACGGUACCUAAUCAGAAAGCCACGGCUAACUACGUG
rnacentral:rRNA from 1 species